GAAAGUACAGCCUGGUGCUUUCCAGCACACACUGAUGAAUGUAUUUCUUGGAGUAAGCACAAUAGAAAACCUGUAUCAUAGAAGUUGAAGACCUAAACAUGGAGCAGGAAAGCAGCUGCGGUCGUUCAUCUGUAGGCCAGCAUGUCCCUCCUGCAAGGCUUCUGGUUGCUGUUGGACCUCAACCAGCUGGGGCUCUGCUGAAGCCGGGUCAUCCUGCCAGUACUCUUCCUCUGAGGAUUCCUCACUGGACCCAUGACUGAUAGGCAGCCCAGAUCCAGAUGCCUUGUGCUACCCAGCCAACCAUUUAAGAUUAAGUUCACAUGGGCCCAUUGUACAUGGAAUGCUUACCUCCAGGCUCUUCACUGUGCAGUUGGCUUGUAGUGGGCUCUCAUCAUGCUUUUCUGUUUACUCACAAGGAGGCAGCCCACAGCCUGCAGCAUAGAUCGUUGGCUG